UCUCAUUGCUGUGACGUACUCUUUGUUGAUUAUGGAACCCGCCUUCCUUUGGCAAGAUGGCGCCGCUGCUGGUACAGCUGAAAUGUGGAUUCCACUUGCAACGACAAACAUUCUCUACUUUACUUCAACAUACAAGUUCGUAUCAUAUUUGGAGAGGAGGUAACACACCGAAUGGGAAGCAACAGAAGACUUAUUUGCUGAGCCCCAACCUGAGGACACCACAUGGACAGUCAACAGAAGUGACAACAGACGUUUACUGGAGGCUGCAAAGCAUUUGCAGGUGACCGAGAGACUAUUUGGCACGGAAAU